GACGAACGCUGGCGGCGUGCUUAACACAUGCAAGUCGAACGGAAAGGCCCUGCUUUUGUGGGUUGCUCGAGUGGCGAACGGGUGAGUAACACGUGAGUAACCUGCCCUUGACUUUGGGAUAACUUCAGGAAACUCGGGCUAUUACCGGAUAUGAUCUUCUGCUGCAUGGUGGUCGUUGGAAAGUUUCGGCGGUUGGGGCUGGACUCGCGGCUUAUCAGCUUGUUGGUGUGGUAGUGGCUUACCAAGGGUUUGACGGGUAGGCGGCAUGGGAGGGUGACCGGCGACAAGAGGACUGAGAUACGGACCAGACUCCUACGGGAGGCAGCAGGGGGAAAUAUUACACAAUGGGGGGAAGCCUGAUGCAGAAACGCCGCGUGCGGGAUGACGGCCUUCGGGUUGUGAACCGAUUUCGCAUGUGACGAAGAGUGAGUGACGGUAAUGGGUAAAGAAGCACCGGCUAACUACGUG
rnacentral:rRNA from 1 species